GGAGUAGGCGAGGUGGUUGCCUCAUCAGAGCAUCAAGCUGCUGAUGGGGAGGAAAGUCCGAACUCCACUGAGCAGGAUGGUCGCUAACAGCGACUCCGAGCAAUCGGAGGAAAGUGCCGCAGAAAGUAGACCGCCCGGGGGGAGUGGCGAAGUCCCUUCCCCGGAGCAAGGGUGAAAGGGUGAGGUAAGAGCUCACCGCUCUGGUGGUGACACCAGAGGCAGGGCAAACCCCAUCCGGAGCAAGGCCAAAUCGGCCCCCGAUGAGAAAGCUCGUCUCUGGGGGCGGGUAGGCCGCAUGACCCCUUGAGUAAUCAAGGGGCUAGAUAAAUAACCACCCCUGCCUGAGGCAGGAACAGAAUUCGGCUUAUGUCCUGCUCCAACC
rnacentral:RNase_P_RNA from 1 species